ACGAACGCUGGCGGCGUGCUUAACACAUGCAAGUCGAGCGGGGAUAUCUGGAGUGCUUGCACACUGGAUAUUCUAGCGGCGGACGGGUGAGUAACGCGUGAACAAUCUGUCCCAUACAGGGGGAUAACAGAUGGAAACAUCUGCUAAUACCGCAUAAGACCACGAUGCCACAUGGCGACGGGGUAAAAGGAUUUAUCCGGUAUGGGGUGAGUUCGCGUCCGAUUAGCUAGUUGGCGAGGUAACGGCCCACCAAGGCGACGAUCGGUAGCCGACCUGAGAGGGUGAUCGGCCACACUGGAACUGAGAGACGGUCCAGACUCCUACGGGAGGCAGCAGUGGGGAAUAUUGGGCAAUGGGCGAAAGCCUGACCCAGCAACGCCGCGUGAGGGAAGAAGGUUUUCGGAUUGUAAACCUCUGUCCUCAGGGACGAAGGACGUGACGGUACCUGAGGAGGAAGCCCCGGCUAACUACGUGCCAGCAGCCGCGGUAAUACGUAGGGGGCGAGCGUUGUCCGGAAUGACUGGGCGUAAAGGGCGUGUAGGCGGCUUUUUAAGUCUGGAGUGAAAGCCCCAUUUUCAAGGUGGGGAGUGCUUUGGAGACUGGAGAGCUUGAGUGCGGAAGAGGUAAGUGGAAUUCCCAGUGUAGCGGUGAAAUGCGUAGAGAUUGGGAGGAACACCAGUGGCGAAGGCGACUUACUGGGCCGUAACUGACGCUGAGGCGCGAAAGCGUGGGGAGCGAACAGGAUUAGAUACCCUGGUAGUCCACGCCGUAAACGAUGUCGACUUGGAGGUUGUGCCCUUGAGGCGUGGCUUCCGGAGCUAACGCGUUAAGUCGACCGCCUGGGGAGUACGGCCGCAAGGUUGAAACUCAAAGGAAUUGACGGGGGCCCGCACAAGCAGCGGAGCAUGUUGUUUAAUUCGAUGCAACGCGAAGAACCUUACCAGGUCUUGACAUCGAGGUAAAGCGGUAGAGAUACCGUGUGGAUUCGUCCAACCGAAGACAGGUGGUGCAUGGUUGUCGUCAGCUCGUGUCGUGAGAUGUUGGGUUAAGUCCCGCAACGAGCGCAACCCUUAUGAUCAGUUACUAACAGGUAGUGCUGAGGACUCUGAUGAGACUGCCGGGGACAACUCGGAGGAAGGUGGGGACGACGUCAAAUCAUCAUGCCCCUUAUGACCUGGGCUACAAACGUGCUACAAUGGCGGCCACAAAGAGGAGCGAGACUGUGAAGUUAAGCGGAUCUCAAAAAAGCCGUCCCAGUUCGGAUUGUGGGCUGCAACCCGCCCACAUGAAGUUGGAGUUGCUAGUAAUCGCGGAUCAGCAUGCCGCGGUGAAUACGUUCCCGGGCCUUGUACACACCGCCCGUCACACCAUGGGAGUUGGGAGCACCCGAAGUCAGUGAGGUAACCGCAAGGGGCCAGCUGCCGAAGGUGAGACCGAUGACUGGGGUG
rnacentral:rRNA from 1 species